rnacentral:rRNA from 1 species
AGAGUUUGAUCCUGGCUCAGAAUCAACGCUGGCGGCGUGCCUAACACAUGCAAGUCGAACGCGAAAGCCCGCAAGGGUAAGUAGAGUGGCGCACGGGUGAGUAACACGUGGACAACCUGCCUUCGAGUGGGGAAUAACCUUCCGAAAGGAGGGCUAAUACCGCAUAACACCUUGGGACACAAGUUCUGGGGUUGAAAAGAGCAAUUUGCUCGAAGAGGGGUCCGCGCCUGAUUAGCUAGUUGGUGAGGUAACGGCUCACCAAGGCUUCGAUCAGUAGCCGUCCUGAGAGGGAGCACGGCCACACUGGAACUGAGACACGGUCCAGACUCCUACGGGAGGCAGCAGUGGGGAAUUUUUGGCAAUGGGCGAAAGCCUGACCAAGCAACGCCGCGUGGGUGAUGAAGUAUCUUGGUACGUAAAACCCUUUCGGCAGGGACGAACCUAAUGACGGUACCUGCGGAAGAAGCCCCGGCUAACUCCGUGCCAGCAGCCGCGGUAAUACGGGGGGGGCAAGCGUUGUUCGGAAUUACUGGGCGUAAAGGGCGCGUAGGCGGUUGGAUAAGUCAGCUGUGAAAACCACGGGCUUAACUCGUGGCCUGCAGUUGAGACUGUCUGGCUUGAGUGUGGGAGAGGAGAGUGGAAUUCCUGGUGUAGCGGUGAAAUGCGUAGAUAUCAGGAGGAACACCGGUGGCGAAGGCGGCUCUCUGGACCACAACUGACGCUGAGGCGCGAAAGCUAGGGGAGCAAACAGACAUUAGAUACCCUGGUAGUCCUAGCUGUAAACGAUGGAUACUUGCUGU